rnacentral:rRNA from 1 species
UACGGGGGGUGCGAGCGUUGUCCGGAAUCACUGGGCGUAAAGGGCGCGUAGGUGGCCUGAUAAGGGUGUGGUGAAAGUCCGGGGCUCAACCCCCGGAUCUGCCGUGCCGACUGUUGGGCUGGAGUACUGUAGGGGCAGGCGGAAUUCCGGGUGGAGUGGUGAAAUGCGUAGAUAUCCGGAGGAACACCAAUGGCGAAGGCAGUGUCCUGGGAAGUACCUGACGCGUCAGGUGCG